UACGUAGGGUGCGAGCGUUAAUCGGAUUUACUGGGCGUAAAGCGAGCGCAGGUGGUUUAUUAAGUCUGGUGUAAAAGGCAGUGGCUCAACCAUUGUAUGCAUUGGAAACUGUUAGACUUGAGUGCAGUAGAGGAGAGUGGAAUUCCAUGUGUAGCGGUGAAAUGCGUAGAUAUAUGGAGGAACACCGGUGGCGAAAGCGGCUCUCUGGACUGUCACUGACACUGAGGCUCGAAAGCGUGGGUAGCAAACAGG
rnacentral:rRNA from 1 species